rnacentral:rRNA from 1 species
UAGGGAAUCUUCCACAAUGGACGAAAGUCUGAUGGAGCAACGCCGCGUGAGUGAUGAAGGGUUUCGGCUCGUAAAACUCUGUUGUUGGAGAAGAACGGGUGUCAGAGUAACUGUUGACAUCGUGACGGUAUCCAACCAGAAAGCCACGGCUAACUACGUGCCAGCAGCCGCGGUAAUACGUAGGUGGCAAGCGUUGUCCGGAUUUAUUGGGCGUAAAGCGAGCGCAGGCGGUUUUUUAGGUCUGAUGUGAAAGCCUUCGGCUUAACCGGAGAAGUGCAUCGGAAACCGGGAGACUUGAGUGCAGAAGAGAACAGUGGAACUCCAUGUGUAGCGGUGAAAUGCGUAGAUAUAUGGAAGAACACCAGUGGCGAAGGCGGCUGUCUGGUCUGCAACUGACGCUGAGGCUCGAAAGCAUGGGUAGCGAACAGGAUUAGAUACCCUGGUAGUCCAUGCCGUAAACGAUGAGUGCUAAGUGUUGGAGGGUUUCCGCCCUUCAGUGCUGCAGCUAACGCAUUAAGCACUCCGCCUGGGGAGUACGACCGCAAGGUUGAAAC